rnacentral:rRNA from 1 species
CCUACGGGAGGCAGCAGUGAGGAAUAUUGGUCAAUGGACGCAAGCCUGAACCAGCCAUGCCGCGUGCAGGAAGACGGCUCUAUGAGUUGUAAACUGCUUUUGUACGAGGGUAAACGCAGAUACGCGUAUCUGUCUGAAAGUAUCGUACGAAUAAGGAUCGGCUAACUCCGUGCCAGCAGCCGCGGUAAUACGGAGGAUUCAAGCGUUAUCCGGAUUUAUUGGGUUUAAAGGGUGCGUAGGCGGUCGGAUAAGUUAGAGGUGAAAUCCCGAGGCUCAACUUCGGAAUUGCCUGUGAUACUGUUCGGCUAGAGAGUAGUUGCGGUAGGCGGAAGGUAUGGUGUAGCGGUGAAAUGCUUAGAGAUCAUACAGAACACCGAUUGCGAAGGCAGCUUACCAAGCUACUACUGACGUUGAGGCACGAAAGCGUGGGGAGCAAACAGGAUUAGAUACCCUAGUAGUC